AUUGAACGCUGGCGGCAGGCCUAACACAUGCAAGUCGAACGGUAACAGGAAGCAGCUUGCUGCUUUGCUGACGAGUGGCGGACGGGUGAGUAAUGUCUGGGAAACUGCCUGAUGGAGGGGGAUAACUACUGGAAACGGUAGCUAAUACCGCAUAACGUCGCAAGACCAAAGAGGGGGGCCUUCGGGCCUCUUGCCAUCGGAUGUGCCCAGAUGGGAUUAGAUUGUUGGUGGGGUAACGGCUCACCAAGGCGACGAUCCCCAGCUGGUCUGAGGGGAUGACCAGCCACACUGGAACUGAGACACGGUCCAGACUCCUACGGGAGGCAGCAGUGGGGAAUAUUGCACAGUGGGCGCAAGCCUGAUGCAGCCAUGCCGCGUGUAUGAAGAAGGCCUUCGGGUUGUAAAGUACUUUCAGCGGGGAGGAAGGGAGUAAAGUUAAUACCUUUACUCAUUGACGUUACCCGCAGAAGAAGCACCGGCUAACUCCGUG
rnacentral:rRNA from 1 species